CGUGGGUGAAGAAGGCCUUCGGGUCGUAAAGCCCUGUCAAGUGGGAAUAACGUCCUGUCGUUAAUGGCGGCAGGAUCUGAAGGUACCACUAAAGGAAGCACCGGCUAACUCCGUGCCAGCAGCCGCGGUAAUACGGAGGGUGCUAGCGUUAUUCGGAUUUAUUGGGCGUAAAGAGCGUGUAGGCGGUUGGGUUAGUCAGAUGUGAAAUCCUUCUGCUCAACAGGAGAAGUACGUCUGAAACUGCCCGACUUGAGUACGAGAGAGGAAAGUGGAAUUCCCAGUGUAGAGGUGAAAUUCGUAGAUAUUGGGAGGAACACCCGUGGCGAAGGCGACUUUCUGGAUCGAUACUGACGCUGAGACGCGAAAGCGUGGGGAGCAAACAGGAUUAGAUACCCUGGUAGUCCACGCCGUAAACGAUGGGAACUAGGUGUAGUGGGUAUUGAUCCCUGCUGUGCCGAAGCUAACGCAUUAA
rnacentral:rRNA from 1 species